rnacentral:rRNA from 1 species
CAGGCUUAACACAUGCAAGUCGAGGGGCAGCAUGGUCUUAGCUUGCUAAGGCCGAUGGCGACCGGCGCACGGGUGAGUAACACGUAUCCAACCUGCCGUCUACUCUUGGACAGCCUUCUGAAAGGAAGAUUAAUACAAGAUGGCAUCAUGAGUCCGCAUGUUCACAUGAUUAAAGGUAUUCCGGUAGACGAUGGGGAUGCGUUCCAUUAGAUAGUAGGCGGGGUAACGGCCCACCUAGUCUUCGAUGGAUAGGGGUUCUGAGAGGAAGGUCCCCCACAUUGGAACUGAGACACGGUCCAAACUCCUACGGGAGGCAGCAGUGAGGAAUAUUGGUCAAUGGGCGAGAGCCUGAACCAGCCAAGUAGCGUGAAGGAUGACUGCCCUAUGGGUUGUAAACUUCUUUUAUAAAGGAAUAAAGUCGGGUAUGGAUACCCGUUUGCAUGUACUUUAUGAAUAAGGAUCGGCUAACUCCGUGCCAGCAGCCGCGGUAAUACGGAGGAUCCGAGCGUUAUCCGGAUUUAUUGGGUUUAAAGGGAGCGUAGAUGGAUGUUUAAGUCAGUUGUGAAAGUUUGCGGCUCAACCGUAAAAUUGCAGUUGAUACUGGAUAUCUUGAGUGCAGUUGAGGCAGGCGGAAUUCGUGGUGUAGCGGUGAAAUGCUUAGAUAUCACGAAGAACUCCGAUUGCGAAGGCGGCCUGCUAAGCUGCAACUGACAUUGAGGCUCGAAAGUGUGGGUAUCAAACAGGAUUAGAUACCCUGGUAGUCCACACGGUAAACGAUGAAUACUCGCUGUUUGCGAUAUACUGCAAGCGGCCAAGCGAAAGCGUUAAGUAUUCCACCUGGGGAGUACGCCGGCAACGGUGAAACUCAAAGGAAUUGACGGGGGCCCGCACAAGCGGAGGAACAUGUGGUUUAAUUCGAUGAUACGCGAGGAACCUUACCCGGGCUUAAAUUGCAGAUGAAUUACGGUGAAAGCCGUAAGCCGCAAGGCAUCUGUGAAGGUGCUGCAUGGUUGUCGUCAGCUCGUGCCGUGAGGUGUCGGCUUAAGUGCCAUAACGAGCGCAACCCUUGUUGUCAGUUACUAACAGGUUCCGCUGAGGACUCUGACAAGACUGCCAUCGUAAGAUGUGAGGAAGGUGGGGAUGACGUCAAAUCAGCACGGCCCUUACGUCCGGGGCUACACACGUGUUACAAUGGGGGGUACAGAGGGCCGCUACCACGCGAGUGGAUGCCAAUCCCCAAAACCUCUCUCAGUUCGGACUGGAGUCUGCAACCCGACUCCACGAAGCUGGAUUCGCUAGUAAUCGCGCAUCAGCCACGGCGCGGUGAAUACGUUCCCGGGCCUUGUACACACCGCCCGUCAAGCCAUGGGAGCCGGGGGUACCUGAAGUGCGUAACCGCGAGGAGCGCCCUAGGGUAAAACUGGUGACUG